AUUGAACGCUGGCGGCAGGCCUAACACAUGCAAGUCGAGCGGAUGAAGGGAGCUUGCUCCUGGAUUCAGCGGCGGACGGGUGAGUAAUGCCUAGGAAUCUGCCUGGUAGUGGGGGAUAACGUCCGGAAACGGGCGCUAAUACAGCAUACGUCCUGAGGGAGAAAGUGGGGGAUCUUCGGACCUCACGCUAUCAGAUGAGCCUAGGUCGGAUUAGCUAGUUGGUGGGGUAAAGGCCUACCAAGGCGACGAUCCGUAACUGGUCUGGGAGGAUGAUCGGUCACACUGGAACUGAGACACGGUCCAGACUCCUACGGGAGGCAGCAGUGGGGAAUAUUGGACAAUGGGCGAAAGCCUUAUCCAGCCAUGCCGCGUGUGUGAAGAAGGUCUUCGGAUUUUAAAGCACUUUAAGUUGGGAGGAAGGGCAGUAAGUUAAUACCUUGCUGUUUUGACGUUACCAACAGAAUAAGCACCGGCUAACUUCGUG
rnacentral:rRNA from 1 species